rnacentral:rRNA from 1 species
AAGGAUUCCCCUAGUAACGGCGAGUGAAGCGGGAUGAGCUCAAAUUUGUAAUCUGGCGGUCUCGCGGCCGUCCGAGUUGUAAUCUGGAGAAGCGUUUUCGGUGCCGGUCCGCGUACAAGUCCCCUGGAACGGGGCGUCGCAGAGGGUGAGAAUCCCGUCUUUGACGCGGUCCGCCGGUGCCGUGCGAUGCGCUCUCGAAGAGUCGAGUUGUUUGGGAAUGCAGCUCAAAACGGGUGGUAAAUUCCAUCUAAAGCUAAAUACUGGCGAAAGACCGAUAGCGAACAAGUACCGUGAGGGAAAGAUGAAAAGCACUUUGGAAAGAGAGUCAAACAGUACGUGAAAUUGUUGAAAGGGAAACGCUUGAAGUCAGUCGCGUCUCUCGGGACUCAGCCGGGUUGGUUCUCGGUGUAUUUCCCGAGUCUGGACGGGCCAGCAUCGGUUUCGACCGUCGUAAAAAGGUGUGAGGAACGUGGCACCCUUCUGGGUGUGUUAUAGCCUCUCGUCGUAUGCGACGGACGGGACCGAGGAACGCAGCGCGCCCCUUUCGGGGCCGGGGUUCGCCCACGUAACGCGCUUAGGAUGCUGGCGUAAUGGCUUUAA